CCCUGCCCGGGCUCCCCGGCACUGACUUGUGUGUGGUGUGUCACCCGGUGGAAGAGGAGAGCGUGGCCUCCUUCGGGCGCUUCCCUGCCUGUCAGCCACGUGGCUGCUCCCAGGUCUCUCUGUCUGGGGACAGGUGCUGGUGUCAGGCAGCAGGUGAAGGACGCAGUCUGGAAGCCCCUCCACUGCACAGGUGUAGGGGUGUCAAGCCGGGAGGUGACAGGCUGCCUGUCCUGAAUUGUCGCAUGAUGGCGGCCAGGAGGCACUCCCUCUUGGGGCUCAGGUGCCCGCCUUCACACACACACCUUUCUGCACCACCCAGAAAGGUGGGCCUUGGGCCACGUGACUCAUUGCUCCCUGGACAAGUAUAUAGAAAACGGCGCCUGCUGACGUCGGGGGGCCCUAGGUGCCUCUGGGCCUGGCUGCUCCAAGCAGCGUGCGGUUCACACUCCCAACCACGGCCUCCGAGUUGGGGUCACUGCCAUACCCGGCCCUUGGUGCGCCUCAGAAUGCUGGACUUGCUGGAUCUGAGGAGAGCCACCCCCACCUCAGGAAACCAAGCAGAGGGGACGUGCUGCCUGUGAGGGGGCCCAACAGGGCCUGGGGCUGCCCUGCACACACCAGGGAUUCGCCCUCCCCCCCCCCCCCCCCCCAGGCUGGCAGUGUCAUUUGACCUUAGGAAGAUUGAACUGCCCCCAGAUUUGGCACAGAGAGCACUGGCGGGAGCGUGCACCUUGCACACCCACGAGAGGCUGCUGGCCUUCAGCCCUAUGUCCGUGUCUGUAAACUCCAGGGGUCAGCACCCAGGGCCCCCCUCUGUUUAUAUAGGGCAUUGCUCAUAAAUCCUCACAUCACAGUGUGGGCUUCCCCGGCUUGGGGCCAGGAUCCUGUUAGGCCUCCUGAGCAGAGGGAGAGGGACAGAAGAGUGACCUGGCCCAACACCGCCUGCAGGGUCGUCCUGGCCAGCCAAGGGUUUGGCCGUCCAGGCCAGACCUGGGCGGGGUGUGGGAAGGCCUGCCCAGCUCAACCCACCUCCUAGAUCCACUUCCCCAUGUGCUCAUUUUCUCUAGGACAGCUCCUCGGUGUUGGGGAACAGCCUGGGAGGACUGGGAUGGGAGUUAAUAUGAGCGGGUAGUUCAAGAGGAAUAGUGGUCAGACUGGCAGACAGGCCUUGGGCCCCGGGCACAGGAAAGGAGCCUGCCCCCACUUCCCAAUUAUGAAGGCUUAUGGGGCACCUGGGUGGCUCAGUCCCAACUUCAGCUCAGGCCAUGAUCUCUUUCCAGCCCAGACUUCACCUGGGGUCAAAAAGGGCGAACGACAGACUGCGAGGGUCACGUUCACGUUGUGUUCAACCCAGCACCCAGAAACCAUGGAGCGGUGGCUGUCCGCUGCCCGGGGCGGAGCGGGGGGGGGGGGGGGGGGGCCGCCUCAGCAAAGCCAAUUAGAACUGCUACCGGUUGUGCAUUUUGGCAGACACGGCAGCCUCGGUGAUGUCAGUUUAACUUCCACGCCCGGGGAACGGUUAACGUACUGUGCUAGGCUGCACCCCGCAGGUGCCUCGCUCACUCCUUGGUCUCUGACCUUGGAGAUUUUCCCGUUGGCAAGGAGUGGCAUGUAUUUGACCUUCCCGUCUGCAGGCACCUUUCAGGGACUCUCUGGGCCUCCUGACUCAUCCAGAGGAGAGCUCUUGGCUCUUCUCUGGUGAGCACUUCAAAGCCCCAGGGAAUGUGGAGAGAGAGGGGCAGCCAGGGUGGUGGAGACGAGAGGUGUCUCGCCCUGGCUUCACUUCACCCCCAAACCGAUUUCUGGUUAGCUAUACCCUCCUCUUCAUGAUCCUUUGCCCCCAUUGUCCAGCCAAACUAAUACACACCCUGAACAACUCGUGGCCAGGAUCGGAGGGAGGGGCACCUCUGUCCAUGUUUAGCUCAAACCCUGGGGUUGGGGUGGGCUCAGAGGGAGGUGACCCGUCCUCGGGCCUGGAACGCCCGGGCUGCGGGAGCCCUGGACUCCUCCAAGAAGUCCAACCGCUCCCCGGAACCCCACAAAAUCGCAUUAGGAGUGGACCGUCUGCCCAGAGGAGGCGGUACGCUGGCCCCGGCCCACCCACCCCCUCCCCGGGGUUCCGGCCCCUGCCUGGCUCCACGGCGUACGGCGUACAGGGGAGGCGCGACGCGACUUCGGUCCCGGCCGACCAGCCCCGAGGCACCGCACCGGCGUGGGAGGUGCCGCGGCAUUCCCCGCUUCGAGGGCGCCUGGGGCCGCGCGGCGCACGGGCGGGAUUCCCUGGGGUUCCCCGCGUUUGGCUUUACACACGCGGGCCCUUUGCCAAGCCGUUGUGCCCACUAGUUUCCUCGCAGGGGCGGGGCCUCCCAGCCUGCCACCCAAACUGGGACCCGGCACCCGGCGCGGAGCCGGAGCCGCCCCCGCCCCCGGGCCCCGCCCCCGGGCCCCGCCCCCGGGCCCCGCCCCUGCCCCCGCGCCCCGCCCCCGUCCGGACCGCUUUACGGCGGAGGUCGCGCCGCCACGUGGGCGGCCGUAAAGCGCCCCGCCCCCCGAGCCUCCGCCGGCACCAUGGCCGGCUUCGCGCCGCGGGUCCAGUACUUGGCGGGCUUCCGCUGCCCGCUCGGAGGCCUGGCGGCGGGCAAGCCCCGCGUGCUGUGCCGCGGCGCCGAGAUCUUCGUGUCCACCGGGAGCGAGCUCGUCUACGUCUACGACCAGGAGGGGAAUCUGCUGACCGCCGUCUUCAGGUUUCCUGGUCGGGUGUGGCACCUGGAGCUCUCGGCCCUUGGCGGGGUGCUCUACGUGUUGUGCGCCCAGAAAGGCGUCUACUGCGUGUCGUUGGACCAGGCGAGCAGGUCUGUGAGCCAAGGUGACGGGGAUGACAGCGACAAGAAUGAUGAGGACAGUGAGGACGGCGAGCCCCCUUGCCCCGUGAUCCCCGUGGACCCAGAUGCCUGCAUCCUCCCUGACGCCACACUGUGUGCUUUCGUUGUGCUCGACGACAUACUGGUCACCCUGGCACAGGGCCCUGCCCAGUGGAAGGUACAGCUGUUCCGGUGUCACCGUCCAGGGGAGGACGCCAGGCCCCCAGGCCAGAUCGGCGAGGUGGAGUUGUCCACUUCCAGCCCUCUGGCUGGGAGCCUUGGGGAGCCCACAGCCCCCCACUUCCUCCCAGUGCUGUGCUGUGUGUCACCACCGGGCUGCAGCGGGCUGUGUGGCCGUAUGCCGGGCUCUGGGGGCUUCACGCUGGAACGGGCCCUCUUCGGGCUGCUCUUUGGAGUUGACGCCUCCCUCUUGGAAUCACCUGUGAUCCUCUGUGGUCUCCCUGAUGGCCAGCUCUGCUGUGUGGUCUUGAAGACUCUGGUCACCUCCAGGUUGGCCCCUGGUGACCCAAAGGCCCUUGUCAAGAUUCUCCAUCACCUGGAGGAACCCGUCGUUUCCAUCGGAGUGUUGAGGACAGAGUCCUCGGGCGAGAACGUGGAGGACACACACCCAGACUGCCUAGUGGCGCUGGGUCGCCACGGCCGGGUGCUGGCCAUCAAGGCCACCUGGGACGAGGCGGGAGAUCUGGUGCCGGAGCUGCAGGAGUACCGGCUCCCAGGGCCUGUGCUGUGUGCAGCCUGUGGCGGAGGCAGCCGUGUGUACCACAGCACCCCCUCGGACCUCUGUGUCGUGGACCUGGCUCGGGGAGGUGCCCCCCAGGACCCCGUGCAGCCUGACAGGGGCCCGGGAAGCCUGCCCUCUCUGCUGUGUCCAGCCAGCUUAAGUGUGUGCAGCGUCGUCACGCUCUCCGUGUUGUCCGAGGUGCCUGAAGGUGGCACCAGGCUCCUGGCCCUGUCUGCCAGGGGCCGCCUGAUGACCUGUAGCCUGGACCUGAGCUCCGAGGCGCCCUGCCCCGCCAGAGCGACAGUGGUGAACACUGGCCAGAAAAUUAAGGAGCUGCUCUCUGGAAUCGGCACCGUCUCUGAGAGGGUGUCUUCUCUGAAGAAGGCAGUUGACCAGCGCAACCGGGCCCUCGUGUGCCUCAAUGAAGCCAUGAACGUGAGCUGCGUCCUGCUAGCGAGCCGCGAGGGCCCCAGGCCCAUCUCGUGUACCACUGCCACCGCCUGGAGCCGCGCGCAGCUGCAGGACGUGCUGACGGCCACCUGCCGGCUGCAGAACAGCAGCGGCUUCAGGCUGGACCGGGGCUGGGCCUGGUGUGUGCAGGUGCGUACCUGCUCCCGCGCCUCAGACCCAGACUCGGCCGGCUCGGCCACCACCUACACCAUCCCCGUGGACCGGCUGGGCCCCGGCGACCGGCGGGAGGUGACGCUGCCCCUGGGUCCCGGUGAGGACGGCGCGCUGGACCUGCCUGUGACGGUGUCCUGUGCGCUCCACUACAGCCUCAGGGAGGUUGUGGGUGGGGCCCUCGCCCCCCCAGACUCUUCCGAGGACCACUCCUUGGAAGGGUGCCCCCCCGACAUGUUGCCUGAGCAAGACGGCGUCUGCCUGCCCCUGAGCGAGCACACCGUGGACGUGCUGCAGUGCCUGCGCUUUCCUGGCCUGGCCGCGCCCCCCACGCAGGCCCCCAGCCCGCACAGCCCCACUGGCGACCCUGUGGACACCUUCUUGGGAGCGCGCCUCGGGCCGGGCAGCGAGCCGGCCGGACCUGCCUCCCUGCGGGCCAAGUUCCCGCCCCCGUCGGUGGCCACCAUCAAGGUGUCAGCAGGGCUUCUGAGGGCCGCCCUGGGGGACGGUCAGCCAGGCGUGUCCCUGGGCUGUACCACCCUGCAGUGGCUGCUUGCCGAGAACAGCGCCCUGGACGUUGUGAGGGCCCGACUGCUGUCCUCCGUCCGGGGAGUGGCCCCCGACGGCACUGACCUCCACCUUGUCGUCCGAGAGGUGACGGUGACCCACCUGUGCGCGGCAGGGCCCAUGCAGGCCGUGGAGAUCCAAGUGGAGAGCUCCUCCCUGGCCAAUCUGUGCCAGGCACACCAUGCUGUCAUUGGGCGUCUGCAGGUGAGCUGUGGGCAGCUGAGGGGUGAGUAGGGCAGCUUUGCUGAUGGCACUUCAGUAACGCACCGCCAUCUGGUGUGCCGGCGGCCCCCCAGCGCGUCCACGAACCCACGUGGGCACUGCGUCAAAAGAGGACGGUCCGUGUGCUACCUGUCACGCUCACGUGCAGGCCUCCCAACUUGCCUGGCUGUGCCGAGAGGCCGUGCCCUGGCGAGAUGCCCCGAACGUGGGUCCUGGGACAAGGUGCCUACACUCUGAGCUUCCACAUCUCUGCCAAGAAAGCAGGAGUGACGGCCAACCUCUCACACGCCUUUGGGGCCCGUUUUGCCACCUGGCAUGGGAUGAGCUGUCACAUUGCUGUCCUCGGGUUCCAGAUGAAACCUGCCACCUGGUGCCCUUGGCGGGACAGAGCUCUGGCUCCGAGGUUGGCCGGCCUAUCUCCUCCCACCUGUUCUGAACGAGGCCUUGACAGUCAUAGAGGGGUCUGCGGUGGUAACCGUCGGCCGAUGGUGACAGCUCUGCGGUAUGGCUCGGGAACCAGCCUCCCCCUGGAACUUACCAGAGCACGUUCCCAGGCCCCAUCCCAGACCUGGGAAUCGGAGAACCCGCGGUCUUGGCGUUUAGGCUUUGACGAGGACCUGAGUGGUGGUGGUCUAGACUCUCCAGUGCACCCUGGGGAGCCUGGAGCCCUCACCAGCCCAGGCAGGUGGGCGCUACUCAGGAGCCUGUGACCCCAGCGGUCCCCCCACGCAACACUGAUGGCACAUGUCCCCACCGUGGCACAUGUGGUUCAGGGAUCUAGUCCUGAGUGUGUCGAGCUGUCAGAGGGAUGUGGGCCUGGUGGGGACACCAGCCCCCGGAUUGGUUCUUGUUCCCUGUGCCCAGAGAGGGGCCUCUUCGACCGUCCUCUCGCACCUGCCAGGCCGUCUCCAGACAUGCCGAGCACGGCAGCCAGGAGGUUGACGCUUAACGUGGCACUCGGGAAGGAGCGUGCUGACCCGACCACUGGCAGGGAGGGGACGUUCGUGUCCAGGUGCCACGACAACCACAGCCUGGUCACGAACGGCAGGAAUUGCGUGCUGGAGGCUGAGGCCUCUCCGUGGUGCACAGACAGCCGUGUUCUCCUGUGUCUUUCCGCGGCUGUCCUCUGUGCACGUCUGCACGCUUCUUACAAGGACGCCGCUCACGUCGGUUUAGGGCCCACCCACGUGGCCUCCUCUUCCCUUGUUCGUUGGCAAAGACCCCAGCUCGGAGGACAGUCAUGUGCUGAGCUGCUGGGGGCAGCUUCCACGUAUGGAUCUGGGGGCAGGUUUGGCUCCUAACAGGGAGCUGCAGACGCUCCCUUGAUAGGAACGUUCAGGCAGACUGCAGGCCACGGUCUGUCCUGUCAGCCGACACCGUGCCCCACGUAACGGUCGGCCCCCCCCUCCCCCCGCCACAUGGUCUUCCUGUAGCGGCUGCCGCAGAGGCUGGUGGGGCCUCGCCGCCCGAGCCCGAGCCUGUCUGGGGGCUUGGAUCUGAGCUCCCAGGAGCUGCCUGGGUUUCCCCAGAAAGCAAAUGGGGCAGGUCGGGUGGCCCCCGCGAGGGCAGCAGCUGGCGCCAGUCCUGACACCAAGGAGGAGAGAAGGGCUCUGCGAGGACAAGGGAGGGAGUGGGCAGCAGAGGAACGGGGAGCGAGAAGGACGUUCCUUCCAAGUAACCUGCUGGGGCCGCAGCAGACCAUGCAGCGGGGCUCUUGGAGGUGAUGGGGCCCCAGGCACCCCCUCCAGAUGGGAGGUGGGAAGUGUCCUCUCCAACCACCUGCCCCUUGUCCCCCCACCAGAGGAUGGUUGUGGAACAGGCCGCCCACAGCUCCAGCCCACCCGACCUCCGUGUUCAGUAUCUCCACCAGAUCCAGGUCAACCACGAGACUCUGCUGCGGGAGGUGCAGACCCUGCGGGACCGCCUGAGCACAGAUGAUGAGGCCAGCUC